UUGACGGGGAGCACCACAACAGGUGGAGCCUGACGGUUUAUCGGACUCAACGCCGGGAAACUCACCAGAUAAGACAGCUGAAUGAUAGUCGGGCUGAAGACUCUACUUGACUAGCUGAGAGGAGGUGCAUGGCCGUCGUCAGUUCGUACUGUGAAGCAUCCUGUUAAGUCAGGCAACGAGCGAGACCCACGCCAACAGUUGCCAGCUCGUCCUCCGGGAUGGUGGGGACACUGUUGGGACCGCCUCUGCUAAAGAGGAGGAAGGAAUGGGCAACGGUAGGUCAGCAUGCCCCGAAUUAUCUGGGCUACACGCGGGCUACAAUGGGUGGGACAAUGGGUAUCGACACCGAAGGGGACGGGAAUCUCCUAAAACCAGUCUUAGUUCGGAUUGAGGGCUGCAACUCGCCCUCAUGAAGCUGGAAUCCGUAGUAAUCGCGUUUCAACAGAACGCGGUGAAUACGUCCCUGCUCCUU
rnacentral:rRNA from 1 species